rnacentral:rRNA from 1 species
AGACCCGAAACCCGGUGAUCUAGCCAUGGGCAGGUUGAAGGUUGGGUAACACUAACUGGAGGACCGAACCGACUAAUGUUGAAAAAUUAGCGGAUGACCUGUGGCUGGGGGUGAAAGGCCAAUCAAACCGGGAGAUAGCUGGUUCUCCCCGAAAGCUAUUUAGGUAGCGCCUCGUGAAUUCAUCUCCGGGGGUAGAGCACUGUUUCGGCUAGGGGGCCAUCCCGGCUUACCAACCCGAUGCAAACUGCGAAUACCGGAGAAUGUUAUCACGGGAGACACACGGCGGGUGCUAACGUCCGUCGUGAAGAGGGAAACAACCCAGACCGCCAGCUAAGGUCCCAAAGUCAUGGUUAAGUGGGAAACGAUGUGGGAAGGCCCAGACAGCCAGGAUGUUGGCUUAGAAGCAGCCAUCAUUUAAAGAAAGCGUAAUAGCUCACUGGUCGAGUCGGCCUGCGCGGAAGAUGUAACGGGGCUAAACCAUGCACCGAAGCUGCGGCAGCGAACGUAUCACUUAAAGCGAUUCAGCGGGUUACGAUUGACGGAGCGAAGCGACGUCAAAGCGUAUACAAAGUCGAGUCGGUUUAAGGAUACGUUCGUUGGGUAGGGGAGCGUUCUGUAAGCCUGUGAAGGUGGCCUGUGAGGGUUGCUGGAGGUAUCAGAAGUGCGAAUGCUGACAUAAGUAACGAUAAAGCGGGUGAAAAGCCCGCUCGCCGGAAGACCAAGGGUUCCUGUCCAACGUUAAUCGGGGCAGGGUGAGUCGACCCCUAAGGCGAGGCCGAAAGGCGUAGUCGAUGGGAAACGGGUUAAUAUUCCC